CUGGUUUCAAAAGAAACAGAAUGAACCUAGUAAACACAUUGCAUGUGUGUUUGCUUUUGCAGAGCAUUAAGAUAAAUGGAAAACAACUUUUUAGGUUCAAAAGGACACACCUGCAGACAACACAGAGACUAUAUUAACAUCCCUGCCAGCAGGUCCCCAGCCCCCAGUUCUCCACCUUUCCUGCUGACCAGGUAACUUCUCUCAAUAAUAAUCAGAUGGAGCGCCUGGCACUGAGAAAGGAGUCAUGGACACCAAUUCAACAACACCCUAUUUCGCCUCUUCUCGAAACUUCAGUGUCUCCGAUAUCAUUGUGAUUGUGGCUUAUUUUGUGUUGAAUGUAGCAGUUGGAAUAUGGGUAAGAGCUUUUUUUUUGUUACAUUUGUUUUCUGGAGUUCCAAGAAAUAAGGAAACUGACAUUUCGAUCAAAACUUCUUUUCUGCACCUAGACUGAUGGCUUGUUGCUGAUAAAGAUCGCAAGGUGUGGUUCA